rnacentral:rRNA from 1 species
GAUGAACGCUGGCGGCGUGCCUAAUACAUGCAAGUCGAGCGAACAGACGAGGAGCUUGCUCCUCUGACGUUAGCGGCGGACGGGUUAGUAACACGUGGAUAACCUACCUAUAAGACUGGGAUAACUUCGGGAAACCGGAGCUAAUACCGGAUAAUAUAUUGAACCGGAUGGUUCAAUAGUUAAAGACGGUUUUGCUGUCACUUAUAGAUGGAUCCGCGCCGCAUUAGCUAGUUGGUAAGGUAACGGCUUACCAAGGCAACGAUGCGUAGCCGACCUGAGAGGGUGAUCGGCCAAACUGGAACUGAGACACGGUCCAGACUCCUACGGGAGGCAGCAGUAGGGAAUCUUCCGCAAUGGGCGAAAGCCUGACGCAGCAACGCCGCGUGAGUGAUGAAGGUCUUCGGAUCGUAAAACUCUGUUAUUAGGGAAGAACAAAUGUGUAAGAAACUAUGCACGUCUUGACGGUACCUAAUCAGAAAGCCACGGCUAACUACGUG